GAUGAACGCUGGCGGCGUGCCUAAUACAUGCAAGUCGAGCGAACAGAUGAGGAGCUUGCUCCUCUGACGUUAGCGGCGGACGGGUGAGUAACACGUGGAUAACCUACCUAUAAGACUGGGAUAACUUCGGGAAACCGGAGCUAAUACCGGAUAAUAUAUUGAACCGCAUGGUUCAAUAGUGAAAGACGGUUUUGCUGUCACUUAUAGAUGGAUCCGCGCCGCAUUAGCUAGUUGGUAAGGUAACGGCUUACCAAGGCAACGAUGCGUAGCCGACCUGAGAGGGUGAUCGGCCACACUGGAACUGAGACACGGUCCAGACUCCUACGGGAGGCAGCAGUAGGGAAUCUUCCGCAAUGGGCGAAAGCCUGACGGAGCAACGCCGCGUGAGCGAUGAAGGUCUUCGGAUCGUAAAACUCUGUUAUUGGGGAAGAACAAAUGUGUAAGUAACUAUGCACGUCUUGACGGUACCUAAUCAGAAAGCCACGGCUAACUACGUG
rnacentral:rRNA from 1 species